AGUAAAAAUGGAUUGUUUGGGAUUAUAUCGUUUCUUAAAAAUCCGCUAUUACGUUCGCUCGGAAAACACCAGUUGCUGUCAAAAAGCUGGUCUGAGAAACCCUGCAUAUUGAAAAGGAGGGAGGAACUGAUAAAUACAUGGGACUCCCUGAGAGCUUUGGAAGGAGAAAGCGUGAUCUGUUCUCCGCUACGGUGGACCGGAUUAAACAGAAAGCUCGAGGAUGGUCAAAAUAAUUCCUCUCCUUUGCCGGCAAGCUGGUUAUGUUGCAAAGUGUACUCUCAGCUACCCCAUCCUAAUCCAUGACAUGCUUUAAGCUACCAAUCUCCCUGUGCAAACAAAUCCAAUCAGUGGUUACUCGUUUUUGGUGGGACAACACUGAGAACGCCCGCAAAAUGGCAUGGGUCUCACGGGACAAGCUUGCCAAACCGAAAGCGAUUGGAGGACUGGGGUUCCGAGACUUCGAAAAAUUCAAUGACGCUCUCCUCCCAUAACCCGACUUCCCUACUCGCACGAGUUCUAAUGGGAAAAUACUGCUUGGAAAACUCUUUCCUACAUGUAAGGGAAACUACCUCCAUCUCUCAUGGGUGGAGAAGUGUUUUAGCAGGCCGAGACCUGUUGAUUAACAACUUAGGCUGGGUAGUGGGCGAUGGUGCAUCGAUAAAUAUCUGGUGUGACCCCAGGCUGAGCCUGAUCCGACAAGAAAGGCCUAUGGGCCCUCCCGGAGAACAAAGUGUAGAGCUGACUGUCUUGGAUCUCAUGAUAGCGGGUGGAAGAGAAUGGGACCGCAGAAGAAUCUCCCUGCUUCUACCUGAUUACAAAAGUAAAAUCCACUGCAUCAAACCAAGUCUUACGAGGGCCACAGAUAAGCUCAUCUGGCUCGGUACAAAAACCGGCGAGUACACAACAAAGUCUGGCUACUAUAGCAUGGUGGAUGUUGGUUCCUAUGGUGAAGCAGCCGUGGCCGCAACAGAUAUCAACUGGAACAAAGGUGUGUGGAGGCUAGAAUGUGUGCCGAAGGUUAAAUUGUUCUCUUGGAAACUCCUCAAGGGAGCUCUCCCAGUGGGAGAGAGACUAGUGGAACGCCAUAUCGCAGUGGACCCUCUCUGUAAACGUUGUGGAAACUCCGAAUAUAUCGUUCAUAUCUUCUUCCACUGUUGUUUGAUCCAAAAAAGGUGUUUAUGCUGGUGAUGUUUGUUGAAUCAAUACAAUAAAAGAAUCUAAGAAUAAGAAUUAGAUUCUUGAGGCUUAGGAGAAAUCUUUAGAUGAAAUCAAAUGGGAAAAAGAAUAUGAAAAAGAUUUCAUUGAUUGAAGGUUCAUCACCAAGAUGAUUACAAAGGUGAAGUGAACCUUAGAAUACAAAAUCUCUAUGAAAAUAUGUUCUUAAAGUCUAAGAAGAGGAGAAGAUUAUUUCUCAUAAGGAGGUAGCUCCUUAUUUAUAGAAAGACGAAACCUAGGGCUUCCUGGCAAUAUGGGCCUAGUUCAAUGUCUAAUGGGCGUUGAAAAGUAUGUAAAUUCAUCCCCAACAAAUGUCUUUUUGCACAAAAAGUAUGGAGCCUUGCUCCCUUUAUUAAUGAGUUGGAGUGCAGAGGAACGAUAUAAUUGGUAGCAAACCUGGGUUGCGUGGUGUGGAAAGCAAUGCCUUCCCCCUGCUGGGAUCCUGGCAGGAUCACUCUUCCCCUGGAUUAUGUGGGCUUUGUGGAAGGCGAGAAACCGAUUCGUGUUCGAAGUCUUCUCAGCAACUCCUGAAGAUACAACAGCUAUUGUGCUGGCAAGGGAGUGGAAUGAGGGACAUAAACUGGAAAAUCAGAAGAAAAUGAAGCAUCCCCAAGCAGAGGUGGUAUCUCCACCCAACACGGCCGUUGUCAGAUCAGAUGCAGCGUGGGCGGAACAGCGAAACAUAGCAGGACUCGGGUGGGUUCUCUAUGCAGAGAACCAAAUCAUGCAAUUUAAAGAGCAAAAGUACUUUGUCAAUUCGCCAUUAAUAGCUGAGGGUCUAGCACUAAGGGAAGCUGUACUUACGUGCCAACGGAAGGGUUUGGAGACGAUACAGGUUGAAUCGGAUUCAGAGAUCCUGGUGAAGACGCUGAAUUCGGGAGCAAGUGGAGCUGGCUUGUAUGGCAUCGUCUCAGAUAUCCUCACGCUAGGUGAAGACUUUGAGUUUGUAUGUUUUUG
rnacentral:lncRNA from 1 species